GGCCUUUUGAUCAUAAUUUAAGGUCGGGCCUGCCCAAUGAAGAAAUUUAAUGGCCGCGGUAUAUUAACUGUGCAAAGGUAGCAUAAUCAUUAGUUUUUUAAUUGAAAGCUGGAAUGAAGGGUUUAAUGAAAAAAGUUCUGUUUCUGUUUAAGUUUAUUAGAAUUUUAUUUUUAAGUUAAAAAGCUUAAAUAAUUAUUGAAGACGAGAAGACCCUAUAGAGUUUUAUAUUUUUGGAAAUUUUUUUAUUUGGUAAUUUUAAUUUAAUUUUUAAAGGUAUUUGGUUGGGGUGAUUGAAAAAUUAAAGAAACUUUUUUUUUAUUAAACAUUAAUAUAUGAGUAAAUGAUCCUUUUUUUAGAUUAAAAGAAAUAAUUACCUUAGGGAUAACAGCGUAAUUUUUCUUAGAGUUCUUAUCAAAAGAAAAGAUUGCGACCUCGAUGUUGGAUUAAAAUAAGUUUUUGGUGCAGAAGCUGAAAAACUAGGUCUGUUCGACCUUUAAAUUUUUACAUGAUCUGAGUUUAGACCGGUUUAAG
rnacentral:rRNA from 2 species